rnacentral:rRNA from 1 species
UACAGAGGUCUCAAGCGUUGUUCGGAUUCAUUGGGCGUAAAGGGUGCGUAGGCGGCGCGGUAAGUCGGGUGUGAAAUCUUGGAGCUUAACUCCGAAACUGCAUUCGAUACUGCCGUGCUUGAGGACUGGAGAGGAGACUGGAAUUUACGGUGUAGCGGUGAAAUGCGUAGAUAUCGUAAGGAAGACCAGUGGCGAAGGCGGGUCUCUGGACAGUUCCUGACGCUGAG